rnacentral:piRNA from 1 species
UCUUUAGGCUGGAGAUGAUGAGGUACAU